UCCUUCUGUGAAAAGAAGAUAAGAGAGGGGAUGAGUCAAGUAACAUAAUAAACGUUCUGAGAAGGUUUCUCUUAGCAGAAAAAAAGCUAAAGAUCAAGAUCUGGAAAGAAUAGCAAAUCUCUUCACCAAGAAACAGUCAAGAAAAUUACUGCUCUCCUAGCUCAAAGAGAAACAUUAAUUAAAGACC
rnacentral:lncRNA from 1 species